GUUGUGCCUGAAAGAACUGAUACAAAUGGAGACUGUUUCCCUCUAGAGGGAGCUUUUGAAACUGUUACAGGAGUGUAACUGGGGGAUUUCCAGCUGCAGAUAAGGAUUCUGAGAACCAGAGAGUGACCUUGGACUAUUUAAAAAUGUUGACAGGAGAGGCCAUUGUGACUGUUUUAUGUAAGAUAAGCUGUUCGCUGGGACAGCUUCACAAGAAAAUGGAUGACAUGACUUUCAAAGUUGAUAAUUUGGAACAGAAAGUGACCAUUUUGAGUCAAAAAGGGAACACCAACACAGAAAUAAUUCAGGACUUGGUACAGGAACCCAUUUUGGCAGGACAAAUGGUGGAGGAGAAGGAGGAGAAGGAGAAUGCUGCUGUUGUUGAACAUAAAAUAAUACAAGUGAGAUCUGUGGCUUUACAGAAGCAAAUUGAGGACUAUAAGUUGAGGCCUUCUAUGAUUGAAUCUAGGAAAAGUCAGACUCUGAGGAAUGGAUCCCGGCUUGGAUUAAAGAAGGAAAGUUGGAAAGAGCCCUCUAUGCAGGGAUUAACUGACUUUUGGGACAUGGACUCGGGCCUGGAGGAGAUUGAAGUUUUGGGGGCCUUUGGACUUGGAGGAAUCUUGAAAUAUGCCCUGAAAUACUUUAUGGACUGUAGCUUUAACUAUGGAAAUUUAGCUAAUCUAUUCAGAAGGAAGAAAAAGAUUGACAGGUUGGAGUUUCCCCGAGAUUUGCUCUUUAGCAUUAAAGAAAAUGAAGAAGACCUGCAGAAGGGACUUGGAAAAGAGUUAAGAGCCUCGGACAUAAGAUCACCAGGUUGAUGGACUUUAUGGAGUUGACGGAAAGGACUGGCAGAAUCCGAAACCUGGGAGAGGAGAUGGUGGAAGAAGAUUGGAAAAUUUAAAGUUUAUAUAUAGACUUAUGGUUAAACUAAUGAGUGAUAGAAAAAUGGUGGAAUGAUUCUUUAUGGGCUUAACAGAAAUGUUAUAAGGAGUUAAGCAUAUAUAAGUAUUUUAGUUUUAAUGGAAAAUAAGGUUAAAAAAUACGUUAUUUACAAUAUCACAGAAAAUGGAGAAAGAUGGAAAGGAUUUGCUGAAACAAUUAAUAGAAGUGGAAUACAAAAAGGGAGGUGAGAGGAGGUCGAGGAAACAAGGGAAUGAAAGAUAGAGUAUGGAAAAGAGAUGAUGUAUGUUUUUAAAUUGUUUUUGUUUUGUUUCAUUUAGGGUUAAGGUUAGGGAGUGGGGUUUGUUUAGUUUAGUUUAAUGUGUUUAGUUUUGAGUUUAGGUUGUGUUUUGUAUUGUUUAUAUAUUGUAUUGUUUUUUUCUUUUUGCUUUUCUCCUUUGUUUUUUUUCUGUUUUUUCUUUCUUGUUUUUUUCCCCUCUUUUUGUAAUCUAUAAAAGUAAUAAAUAUUAUUUUU